AUUUCUUAGGUUAAUGUUCCUUUCCCCUUGGAAACUUUGACAUAGAAGAUUGAAGGUCGUCUCCGGCAAAGUCCUUAUCCUUUCCAUACCACUGCCAUAGAAUUUUAGUCGGUGUUUUGUUUACUGACUCUGUUCUGACAUAUACCGGUGGAACAGAGCCGCCGUGUUGAGUCCCGACGCCAUGUUCUGACAUAUCCUUUGGUUUCCAUAUACCGUCGAAGGAAACUGGGUGACGUUACGCAAAUAUGUUGAGUUCAAACGUCUUUAACGCCCUCAUUCACAACAGCUCCCCACUCCUCUAACGAUCUAUCAUUCAAUUGAGUGAAUCUUUGACUAUAAAUAUGAAAGGAGGCGAUGAAGAAAUCCAUUUUAGAGCUUGCAAAUUUCUUCAACUGACUCUUUCUGAUUGAUCAUGUUAAACUAUUGCUUCGUUGAUUUGUUUUUAGAUUGUAUCUGAGGGGCAAGAGAGUGUCUGAGAACAAUAUAUAGCUAAUGAACGGUGGUGGUAAGGUUGGACUUUCAUCGUCUUUAGAUUGGAGAUUCUCUCAGGUAUUUGGUGAAGCCAGUGCUGGCGAAGAAGUUCAAGAAGGUGUGUUGUACGCGAUACCCGAACAUUAAACAUGUCUUCUUCGUUUCUGAGAGAAUCUGCUUACUAAGCAUCGAUCUAGAAACAACACCAGCACCAUAAACGACAUCUGAUCUAAGAAUAGAGUUUCCUGUCGGACAGAUGGAGAUUCUAAGAAGAUCGCCGGUUGUUGCAGCAGAUGCCUUCCAUGGUGAUGAAAUUGAAGAAGAGAAUGAUGUUUUCUUCUAUGAUUCUGAAAGUGACCACAUCCAAUUUUGUAAUAAUGAAAAAUUGUAAUUCUUAUUUUUAGCUUCGACCCUCUGUUUGGAAGGUCUCAAUUUCUGGGGAGUUAUUUAUCUAUAAAAAUCAUUAACUACAUAUAA